rnacentral:lncRNA from 1 species
CAUUUAGUCACUGGUAUGCUAAACAAAACACUUAUAACUUGUAACUCAGACUUGAACAGUAUUAAAUUUCACUUUUCAUUACUUAAAAACGAACAAUAAUUUUCCAACCUUUUUUUCUCUCAGAGACUCCAAUUGAGUCUCCAUUAUGUAGGGCUCUUCAUCAAAGUUAUCAACCAAGGCCUCAAGUUCUUCAUAUAUCUACGAAAGAUACUAAGGAAAAUACAAACUCUUUAGUAAAGUACAAAUUGCCAAUAACAUGGCAAAAAACAAAAAAACAACAGACAGUUGUACAUGAAAACAUCAGUUUUAACUCUGACUCUAAAACAGCAUUAAAUUUCACCUUUCAUAGCAUAGUAAAAAAAAAAGAAACUAAUUUUUUCAACCUUUUUCUCUCUGUAUUGAUCAGAGUCUCCUUGUCUCCAAUUAUCUGUGUUGCUACAGCCUUCAAAAAAAGUGAAAAUUAGUUAACUGUAGUUGCUUCUGCUAUGACAAAAUAAUAAAUCAAGAAAGAUAACUUUCACACAAUAUUGUAACAUUUCAAAAAAAAAAUUAAGUAAUAUUGUAACAGCUUAUAAGUGUAAGUCACCAAAAUAAAAAGUUCAACACUGACAUGUCUUACCUGCAAAUUAUAAUUAGAUUCAUUAUCAACAAAAGACAGCUUUUUGAGCUUAAAUCAAUGGAGUUAUCUCCCAUUGUCCAAUCUUGCUGUUGAACUGGUGAACUUUUGUUUUAUCCAAAAGAUAGAUUCAUAUACACCAUGCACAAUUGAUGUAAAUUUUUUAAGAAAAAAAUAUAACAUAGACCAUUGCAUACAUGUUACAAACUUUUAUAAUUUCUGACUCAAGACUUUGCAUGAGGACUUCAGCUUGAGCCUACACAAUAAUUAAAAAAAAAAAUCUAAUGUUCACAAUAUUAAAAAAGUUGCUUCAAUGACAAAAUAAAAUCAAGAAAGAUAACUCUUUCACCAUAUAGUAAUAUUUAAAAAAAAAUAAGUAAAUAAAUUAAAAAAAAAGAAAUAUAUAAUUUUUCCAAUCUUCUUUCUCUCUGAAUUCAACUGAGCCUUCAUAUAUAGGACUGGUUGAGCCAACAUUUACUCAGGCCUCUUUUUUCUUCAGAUAUCGAGUUGCUUCAGCCUACAAAAAAAUCAAAAAGUUAACUUGGACACAAUAUUGCAAUAGAUAUUUUCUGUCUAUAUAGCUAUGACAGUAAAAUCAAGAAUGAUAAAUCUUAUACAAUAUAUAUUUUUUUUUUUUUUUUUUUAUCUUUAUUAGAAUCAUCCUACAUACAAUUAUUAUAUAUACACAUAUCUAAUCAAUAUACACACAUUUAUAUACAAUAUUAUCACAGUUUGAACAUAUCCAAUCAUUAUUACAGUCAUAUACUUUAUAUUUUUCCUUUCAAAAUAUCCAAUCAUUAUUACAGUUAUAUGCUCAUAUAUUUACUAACAAAAUAUCCAUUCAUUAUCAUAGUUGUUUACUUUUAAUAUUAUAUAGUAACAUUUUAAAAUCAAAUCAAGAAAGAGCUGACUCCUAAGUACCAGUAAUAUUAUAACAGCUAACUAUGAACAA